GCGGGCGUGGCGGAAUGGCAGACGCACCAGACUUAGGAUCUGGCGCCGCAAGGCGUGGAGGUUCAAGUCCUCUCGCCCGCACCA
rnacentral:tRNA from 1 species